rnacentral:lncRNA from 1 species
AGCGAUCUCACCGAUGCCGCCACGUGCCAUCCGUCCGCAUCGGGACCUCCGCCCGGGUUUUGAGGCCCAAACCCGCGAAACCCGCCGCGAGUAGCGUAGCCCGUACGCGUCCCCCGCCGUGUACACUUUGCGCUUAUCAAUGUCCCAAGUGUCAGCCACCGCAGCUGGCCACCCGGUCGUCUGGUCCGUCAGUCCAAGCCUCAC